UAGUCUGGUGCCAGCAGCCGCGGUAAUUCCAGCUCCAAUAGCGUAUAUUAAAGUUGUUGCAGUUAAAACGCUCGUAGUCGGAUUUCGGGGCAGGUUUGCCGGUCUGCCGAUGGGUAUGCACUGGUAGAACUGUCCUUCCUUCCGGAGACGGCGCCUACUCUUAACUGAGCGGGUGUCGGAGACGGAUCGUUUACUUUGAAAAAAUCAGAGUGUUUCAAGCAGGCAGCUCGCUUUUGCAUGGAUUAGCAUGGGAUAAUGAAAUAGGACUUUGGUGCUAUUUUGUUGGUUUCGAACACCGAAGUAAUGAUUAACAGGGACAGUCAGGGGCACUCGUAUUCCGCCGAGAGAGGUGAAAUUCUUAGACCAGCGGAAGACGAACCACUGCGAAAGCAUUUGCCAGGGAUGUUUUCACUGAUCAAGAACGAAAGUUAGGGGAUCGAAGACGAUCAGAUACCGUCGUAGUCUUAACCAUAAACCAUGCCGACUAGGGAUUGGAGGAUGUUCCUAUGUGACUCCUUCAGCACCUUUCGGGAAACUAAAGUCUUUGGGUUCCGGGGGGAGUAUGGUCGCAAGGCUGAAACUUAAAGGAAUUGACGGAAGGGCACCACCAGGAGUGGAGCCUGCGGCUUAAUUUGACUCAACACGGGGAAACUUACCAGGUCCAGACAUUGUGAGGAUUGGCAGAUUGAGAGCUCUUUCUUGAUUCGAUGGGUGGUGGUGCAUGGCCGUUCUU
rnacentral:rRNA from 1 species